rnacentral:rRNA from 1 species
CGCGCGAUACAGGGUGACAGCCCCGUACACAAAAGCGCAUGUGUUGUGAGCUCGAUGAGUAGGGCGGGACACGUGGUAUCCUGUCUGAAUAUGGGGGGACCAUCCUCCAAGGCUAAAUACUCCUGACUGACCGAUAGUGAACCAGUACCGUGAGGGAAAGGCGAAAAGAACCCCGGCGAGGGGAGUGAAAAAGAACCUGAAACCGUGUACGUACAAGCAGUGGGAGCCCCACCACCAAAGCAUUCUCUGGUGUUGAAGGCCCUGCAAAGCAGCAUCGCGGUGGCGGAGCGUCGUUUGCGACGCCCAACACACAAAACAAGCGGUGAGUGCUUUGGGGUGGGGUGACUGCGUACCUUUUGUAUAAUGGGUCAGCGACUUAUAUUCUGUAGCAAGGUUAACCGUAUAGGGGAGCCGGAGGGAAACCGAGUCUUAAUUGGGCGUUAAGUUGCAGGGUAUAGACCCGAAACCCGGUGAUCUAGCCAUGGGCAGGUUGAAGGUUGGGUAACACUAACUGGAGGACCGAACCGACUAAUGUUGAAAAAUUAGCGGAUGACCUGUGGCUGGGGGUGAAAGGCCAAUCAAACCGGGAGAUAGCUGGUUCUCCCCGAAAGCUAUUUAGGUAGCGCCUCGUGAAUUCAUCUCCGGGGGUAGAGCACUGUUUCGGCUAGGGGGCCAUCCCGGCUUACCAACCCGAUGCAAACUGCGAAUACCGGAGAAUGUUAUCACGGGAGACACACGGCGGGUGCUAACGUCCGUCGUGAAGAGGGAAACAACCCAGACCGCCAGCUAAGGUCCCAAAGUCAUGGUUAAGUGGGAAACGAUGUGGGAAGGCCCAGACAGCCAGGAUGUUGGCUUAGAAGCAGCCAUCAUUUAAAGAAAGCGUAAUAGCUCACUGGUCGAGUCGGCCUGCGCGGAAGAUGUAACGGGGCUAAACCAUGCACCGAAGCUGCGGCAGCGACACUGUGUGUUGUUGGGUAGGGGAGCGUUCUGUAAGCCUGUGAAGGUGUGUCGUGAGGCAUGCUGGAGGUAUCAGAAGUGCGAAUGCUGACAUAAGUAACGAUAAAGCGGGUGAAAAGCCCGCUCGCCGGAAGACCAAGGGUUCCUGUCCAACGUUAAUCGGGGCAGGG